AUACGGAUGGUGCGAGCGUUGUUCGGAAUUACUGGGCGUAAAGAGUACGUAGGCGGAUCGUUAAGUUAGAGGUGAAAUCCCAGGGCUCAACCCUGGAACUGCCUUUAAUACUGGCGAUCUAGAGAUCGAGAGAGGUGAGUGGAAUUUCCAGUGUAGAGGUGAAAUUCGUAGAUAUUGGAAAGAACACCAGUGGCGAAGGCGGCUCACUGGCUCGAUACUGACGCUGAGGUACGAAAGCGUGGGGAGCAAACAGGAUUAGAAACCCUAGUAGUCC
rnacentral:rRNA from 1 species